rnacentral:rRNA from 1 species
UACGAAGGGGACUAGCGUUGUUCGGAAUCACUGGGCGUAAAGCGCACGUAGGCGGAUAUGUCAGUCAGGGGUGAAAUCCCGGGGCUCAACCUCGGAACUGCCUUUGAUACAGCAUGUCUUGAGUCCGAUAGAGGUGGGUGGAAUUCCUAGUGUAGAGGUGAAAUUCGUAGAUAUUAGGAAAAACACCGGUGGCGAAGGCGGCCCACUGGAUCGGUACUGACGCUGAGGUGCGAAAGCGUGGGGAGCAAACAGG